GAAAGAUUCAUCGGAAGAGGAUGGGCAUGCGGCGCAUUAGCUUGACGGCGGGGUAACGGCCCACCGUGGCGACGAUGCGUAGGGGUUCUGAGAGGAAGGUCCCCCACACUGGUACUGAGACACGGACCAGACUCCUACGGGAGGCAGCAGUGAGGAAUAUUGGUCAAUGGGAGAGAUCCUGAACCAGCCAAGCCGCGUGAGGGAAGACGGCCCUAUGGGUUGUAAACCUCUUUUGUCGGAGAACAAAACCCCGGGACGAGUCCCGGACUGCGUGUAUCCGAAGAAAAAGCAUCGGCUAACUCCGUGCCAGCAGCCGCGGUAAUACGGAGGAUGCGAGCGUUAUCCGGAUUUAUUGGGUUUAAAGGGUGCGUAGGCGGUCUGUUAAGUCAGCGGUAAAAUUGCGGGGCUCAACCCCGUCGAGCCGUUGAAACUGGCAGACUUGAGUUGGCGAGAAGUACGCGGAAUGCGCGGUGUAGCGGUGAAAUGCAUAGAUAUCGCGCAGAACUCCGAUUGCGAAGGCAGCGUACCGGCGCCAGACUGACGCUGAGGCACGAAAGCGUGGGGAUCGAACAGGAUUAGAUACCCUGGUAGUCCACGCAGUAAACGAUGAAUGCUGGUUGUCCGGGUCGAAUGAGACCUGG
rnacentral:rRNA from 1 species